rnacentral:rRNA from 1 species
GUGUCAGCCGCCGCGGUAAGACGGAGGGUGCUAGCGUUGUUCGGAAUGACUGGGCGUAAAGGGCGCGUAGGCGGCCAUUCACGUCGGAUGUGAAAGCCCGGGGCUCAACCCCGGAACGGCAUCCGAUACGGGCUGGCUCGAGACCGAGAGAGGUGAGUGGAAUACCCAGUGUAGAGGUGAAAUUCGUAGAUAUUGGGUGGAACACCGGUGGCGAAAGCGGCUCACUGGCUCGGUUCUGACGCUGAGGCGCGAAAGCGUGGGGAGCAAACAGGAUUAGAUACCCUGGUAGUCCACGCCCUAAACGAUGUGGGCUGGGCGUUGGGGGGCUUGCCCCUCGGUGCCGGAGCUAACGCGGUAAGCCCACCGCCUGGGGAGUACGGCCGCAAGGUUAAA